UACGAAGGGGGCUAGCGUUGCUCGGAAUCACUGGGCGUAAAGCGCACGUAGGCGGAUCUUUAAGUCAGGGGUGAAAUCCUGGAGCUCAACUCCAGAACUGCCUUUGAUACUGGAGAUCUUGAGUCCGGAAGAGGUAAGUGGAACUGCGAGUGUAGAGGUGAAAUUCGUAGAUAUUCGCAAGAACACCAGUGGCGAAGGCGGCUUACUGGUCCGGAACUGACGCUGAGGUGCGAAAGCGUGGGGAGCAAACAGG
rnacentral:rRNA from 1 species